rnacentral:rRNA from 1 species
GACGAACCGUGCGAACGUUGUUCGGAAUCACUGGGCAUAAAGGGCGCGUAGGCGGCUUUUCAAGUCAGGGGUGAAAUCCGGCAGCUUUAACUGUCGAAGUGCCUUUGAUACUGGGAAGCUCGAGGGAGGUAGGGGUCUGUGGAACUUUCCGGUGGAGCGGUGAAAUGCGUUGAUAUCGGAAGGAACGCCGGUGGCGAAAGCGACGGACUGGACCUCUUCUGACGCUGAGGCGCGAAAGCCAGGGGAGCAAACGGG